rnacentral:rRNA from 1 species
GACGAACGCUGGCGGCGUGCCUAACACAUGCAAGUCGAACGGGGUAAUGACUUCGGUUAUUACAUAGUGGCGAACGGGUGAGUAACGCGUGAGAAACCUGCCUUUCAGUGGGGGACAACAGUUGGAAACGACUGCUAAUACCGCAUAAUGUAUCGAUGGGGCAUCCUGUUGAUACCAAAGCUUUAUGUGCUGAAAGAUGGUCUCGCGUCUGAUUAGCUAGUUGGUGAGGUAACGGCUCACCAAGGCGACGAUCAGUAGCCGGCCUGAGAGGGUGAACGGCCACAUUGGGACUGAGACACGGCCCAAACUCCUACGGGAGGCAGCAGUGGGGAAUAUUGCACAAUGGGGGAAACCCUGAUGCAGCGACGCCGCGUGAGUGAAGAAGUAUUUCGGUAUGUAAAGCUCUAUCAGCAAGGAAGAAAAUGACGGUACCUCAUGAAUAAGCCACGGCUAACUACGUG